rnacentral:tRNA from 1 species
GGGGGUAUAACUCAGUGGUAGAGUGGCUGAUUGCAGAUCAGCAAGUCGGGUGUUCGACCCACUCUGCUCCCU